ensembl:misc_RNA Metazoa_SRP Metazoan signal recognition particle RNA
GCUGGGCAUGGUGGCGAGUGCCUGUAAUUCCAGCUACUUGGGAGGCUGAGGCAGGAGAAUUGCUUGAACCCAGGAGAUGGAGGUGGUAGUGAGCCCAGAUCAUGCCACUGCAUUCUAUCCUGGGUAAGAGAGUGAGACCCUGUCUCAA